CCCGAUAAAGCCAAACCCGUUGCGAGGCGGGGACGGAAAGCCACGGGUCUCACAAAAAUGAGAUAGCCGGGUUGCCUGGG
rnacentral:ncRNA from 1 species